rnacentral:rRNA from 1 species
UUACCGAGUUUACAACUCCCAAACCCAAUGUGAACCAUACCAAACUGUUGCCUCGGCGGGGUCACGCCCCGGGUGCGUCGCAGCCCCGGAACCAGGCGCCCGCCGGAGGGACCAACCAAACUCUUUUCUGUAGUCCCCUCGCGGACGUUAUUUCUUACAGCUCUGAGCAAAAAUUCAAAAUGAAUCAAAACUUUCAACAACGGAUCUCUUGGUUCUGGCAUCGAUGAAGAACGCAGCGAAAUGCGAUAAGUAAUGUGAAUUGCAGAAUUCAGUGAAUCAUCGAAUCUUUGAACGCACAUUGCGCCCGCCAGUAUUCUGGCGGGCAUGCCUGUCCGAGCGUCAUUUCAACCCUCGAACCCCUCCGGGGGGUCGGCGUUGGGGACCUCGGGAGCCCCUAAGACGGGAUCCCGGCCCCGAAAUACAGUGGCGGUCUCGCCGCAGCCUCUCCUGCGCAGUAGUUUGCACAACUCGCACCGGGAGCGCGGCGCGUCCACGUCCGUAAAACACCCAACUUCUGAAAUGUUGACCUCGGAUCAGGUAGGAAUACCCGCUGAACUUAAGCAUAUCAAUAA